rnacentral:tRNA from 1 species
UGCUGAGGUAGCUCAGUUGGUAGAGCACAGGUCUGAAAAACCUGGUGUCGACAGUUCGAUUCUGUCCCUCAGCAU